rnacentral:rRNA from 1 species
GAUGAACGCUAGCUACAGGCUUAACACAUGCAAGUCGAGGGGUAACGAGAGGAAAGCUUGCUUUCCUUGUCGACGACCGGCGCACGGGUGAGUAACGCGUAUCCAACCUGCCCCCAACUAGGGAAUAACCUUGCGAAAGUAAGACUAAUACCCUAUAAUUUCCUCAGAUGUCAUCUGACGAGGAAUAAAGAUUUAUCGGUUGUGGAUGGGGAUGCGUCUGAUUAGCUUGUUGGCGGGGUAACGGCCCACCGAGGCAACGAUCAGUAGGGGUUCUGAGAGGAAGGUCCCCCACAGUGGAACUGAGACACGGACCAAACUCCUACGGGAGGCAGCAGUGAGGAAUAUUGGUCAAUGGGCGGAAGCCUGAACCAGCCAAGUAGCGUGCAGGAUGACGGCCCUAUGGGUUGUAAACUGCUUUUAUACAGGAAUAAAGUUAGCCACGUGUGGUUAUUUGUAGGUACUGUAUGAAUAAGGACCGGCUAAUUCCGUGCCAGCCGCCGCGGUAA